rnacentral:rRNA from 1 species
UACGUAGGUGGCGAGCGUUGUCCGGAUUUACUGGGCGUAAAGAGCGCGCAGGCGGUCGUCCAAGUCGCGUGUGAAAGCCCCCGGCUCAACUGGGGAGGGUCACGCGAUACUGUUCGACUCGAAGGCAGGAGAGGGUAGUGGAAUUCCCGGUGUAGUGGUGAAAUGCGUAGAUAUCGGGAGGAAGACCAGUGGCGAAGGCAGAUCUCUGGGCCGUAACUGACGCUGAGGAGCGAAAGCAUGGGGAGCGAACAGG